rnacentral:rRNA from 1 species
UACGUAGGCAGCGAGCGUUGUUCGGAAUUACUGGGCGUAAAGAGUGUGUAGGCGGUGCUCCCAGUCUGUUGUGAAAUCUCCCGGCUUAACUGGGAGGGUGCAGCGGAAACUAGAGUGCUAGAGGGUGGGAGAGGUAAGCGGAAUUCCGUGGUGUAGCGGUGAAAUGCGUAGAUAUCAGGAGGAACACCUGUGGUGUAGACAGCUUACUGGACCACUUCUGACGCUGAGCACACGAAAGCGUGGGUAGCAAACAGG